GGGCACAUGGUGUAGUUGGUUAUCACGCCCGCUUAGCAUUGGUAGCUUGCGGGCGGUGCCCGGUUCAAUUCCGGGUGUGUCCA
rnacentral:tRNA from 1 species